ACGGCGAGUGAAGCGGCAGCAGCUCAAAUUUGGAAUCCGGCCCCCCCGGGGGGCCCGAGUUGUAAUUUGCAGAGGAUGCCUUUGGCGCGGCGCCUUCCGAGUUCCCUGGAACGGGACGCCACAGAGGGUGAGAGCCCCGUCUGGUCGGAUGCCAAGCCUCCGUAAGGCCCCUUCGACGAGUCGAGUAGUUUGGGAAUGCUGCUCAAAACGGGAGGUAUAUGUCUUCUAAAGCUAAAUACCGGCCAGAGACCGAUAGCGCACAAGUAGAGUGAUCGAAAGAUGAAAAGCACUUUGAAAAGAGGGUCAAACAGUACGUGAAAUUGUUGAAAGGGAAGCGCUCGCGACCAGACAUGGGCUCGGUGAAUCAUCCGGCGUUCUCGCCGGUGCGCUUCGCCGGGCCCAGGCCAGCAUCGGCUCGCCGCGGGGGACAAAGGCGCCGGGAACGUGGCUCCCCCGGGAGUGUUAUAGCCCGGCGCGCAAUGCCCUGCGGCGGACCGAGGCCCGCGCAAUCCGCAAGGAUGCUGGCGUAAUGGUCACCAGCGACCCGUCUUGAAACACGGACCAAGGAGUCGUCUUCGCAUGCGAGUGUUCGGGUGUGAAACCCCUACGCGUAAUGAAAGUGAACGCAGGUGGGAGCCUCGGCGCACCAUCGACCGAUCCUGAUGUUCUCGGAUGGAUUUGAGUAAGAGCAUGCGGGGCCGGACCCGAAAGAAGGUGAACUAUGCCUGUAUAGGGUGAAGCCAGAGGAAACUCUGGUGGAGGCUCGCAGCGGUUCUGACGUGCAAAUCGAUCGUCAAAUAUGGGCGG
rnacentral:rRNA from 1 species